UAUAAACCAUGGUUGCCAGUUGCCUGAGCCUCACAGCGCGCGCCACCACCACCGCGCCAUGCCGUUCUCCGCCACCGCCGCCGGCGCCUCCAAACCCUAAACCCGCCGCAGCAAUCAAUGGCGUCCCUCCUCUCCUCCCCCGACGAUUCCAAGUCGCUGUCCGUCACCACCUCAUCGCUCUUCCUCUCCUCCAUCGCCUCUCUCCCCUCUUCCCAUGCCUUCUCCAUCUUCACCUCCGCCUCCACGCCUCUUCCCCCUGUCCCGGUCUCUGUGCCUCCCGCCGCACUCAUCCCGGGCUCCCGCUUCCUUGUCGAUGCCUUCCGCCAUGCCGGAAACUUCUCUGUCGCCUACUUCCUCUCGCACUUCCACUCCGACCACUACAGUGGCCUCGGCCCUUCCUGGCGCCGCGGCCUUGUAUUCUGCUCCGCGCCAACCGCACGCCUCGUCUCAUCCGUGCUCUCUGUCCCGCCUCAACUUGUCGUCUCCCUCGAUAUCGGUGUCCGUAUCACCGUUGAUGGGUGGGGCGUCACCGCCGUGGACGCCAAUCAUUGUCCCGGUGCCGUUCAGUUCCUCUUCGCCUCUCCUGGGCCGAGAGCCGAGAGAUAUGUGCACACCGGUGACUUUCGUUACACAGAGUCUAUGACGCGUGAUCCUAACUUGCUGGAGUUCGUCCGUGCUGAUGCGGUGUUUCUGGACACCACAUACUGCAACCCCAAGUUUACAUUCCCUUCGCAAGAGGAUUCUGUGGAUUACAUAGUGAAUGCAAUCAAACGUGUGAAAGAGGAGAGUUCAGUAUCAGGAGAGCGUGUGCUAUGUCUGAUCGCCACCUAUGCUGUCGGCAAGGAGAAGAUUUUGCUGGAGGUCGCACAGCGCUGUGGGUGUUCAAUCCAUGUGGACAGUAGGAAGAUGAAGAUUUUGACACUGUUGGGGUUCGGUGGGAAGAAUAGCGUUUUUACUGAGGACGCAACAGGGACGGAUGUGCAUGUUCUUGGGUGGAAUUUGUUAGGGGAGACUUCGCCCUACUUCCAGCCGAAUUUUGUGAAAUUGAAGGAGAUCAUGAUGGAGAGAGGGUAUGCUAAGGCUGUUGGGUUUGUACCAACUGGGUGGAUGUAUGAAACCAAGAAGGAAGGUUUUGCUGUUAGGGUGAAAGAUUCACUCGAAAUCCAUCUUGUUCCUUAUAGUGAGCACUCAAGUUACAAUGAGUUGCGCGACUAUGUUAAGUUUUUGCACCCAAAGAGUGUGAUCCCUACUGCCGGAGUGGAUGCUGGGAAGCUCGAUAGUAAGGAGGCAGUUGCUCUGCAGAAGCAUUUUGCUGGGUUGGUUGAUGAGACAGCAAACAAACAGGAGUUCUUGAUGGCAUUCCAUCGUAGGUCAAUAGAUGCUACUCGUAGCUGCAAAGAUGUGGUUGUUAAUUGCUCGAGCCAGCUUGAUGGGGAGGAUGCUGCUUUGUUACCAGCAAUCUCUUCUGCUUCUGAACAACAGGAUAAACUGAUGGAGAAUACUAUGCAGGAAACACUUAAAGAACUGUCAGAUUUCUUACCCUCGUGGGUGAGCCAGGAACAGAUCACAGACCUGCUGAUGAGUUCUGAAGGUGAUGUUGUUAAAGCAGCAUCGAUUUUUUUUGAGCGGGAAAGAGAUUUCUUUGAAGAAGCAAAUGUUUCUUGUAAUGGCACACCCAAGACAGAGAAAAACCAUUCUUCUAAUCAUGGGUCGUCUGCUGAUGUAAGUAGUCAGCAAGAAUCUUCUUUAUUUUCACAGAAGCCUGUGGAAUACUCUGCAAAACUGGUAAAUUUGUCUCCUAUGAGAAUGAAACCAAAUACUCCCAAAAAGGUAAAUAAGAGGGGUUCCAGCAAUACAAACAAGCCAAAAAAGAAAGGCCGAUUAACUUCCUCAACAGAAUCUGGUGGGCGGAAGCAGUCCACAAUUACAAAUUAUUUCAUUAGAGCUACUGAAGCUGCUUUUAAAAGGUGUAGACCUGAAAGAGUAACUGUGGAGGCACAUCAAAAUAACGUGGAAAACAGUGAUCAGUUAGCUGAUACUGAAAAAACACAAGAUCAGAUUGUAGACCAGCUUCUCCAGAUUGUAGAUGGUAGCAUGUCUAGAGAAUAUGCAGUUUAUUUGCUUGAGAAGGCAAACGGAGAUGUGGCUGUAGCAGUUGACAUAUUUUACAGUUCAAGUGAGGGUAAUAAUGUAAUUGAGGUUGACAAGAAUAUUAUGCUGCAGAAUGCACAAGGUGAAACUGCAGAUAAUUGUAGUGAAACAGACAUGGCUAGUGGUUAUUCUCAGGCUACUCCAAAAAUGUCAAACUUACAUGUAGGAACUUCUUUAGCACAUGGAGAUUCUGCCAACACAUCACUGCUAAUUGAAAAGUAUCUACCUAUUGAACAUGCUUGCUGGAUAGCAGGACAGCCUGCACCAUACUUGCAUUUGGCUCGCACAUUUGACUUGGUUGAAAAGGAAAAAGGAAAGAUCAAAACUAUCGCAAUAUUUUGCAACAUGUUCAGGAGUUUGCUUGCUUUAUCCCCUGAUGAUGUUCUACCUGCUGUUUAUCUAUGUACUAAUAAAAUUUCUCCUGACCAUGAAAAUAUGGAACUGAACAUUGGUGGGAGUCUAGUUGUAACUACUCUGGAGGAAUCAUUAGGAACCAGCAGAUCUAAAAUACAUGAAAUGUACAAAACUUACGGUGAUCUUGGUACUGUUGCCCAAGAAUGUCGUCAGAAUCAAACACUAAUUGCUCCUCCCCGUUCUCUCUCGAUUUGUGAUGUAUAUUCCACGCUUCGGAAACUAAGUGCAAUAUCAGGUAGUGGAAGUGCUGGGAGGAGAAAAAAUCUUGUCUUGCAUCUGAUUCGGUCUUGUAGAGAAACAGAAAUGAAAUUUCUUGUCAGAACACUGGUUCGUAACUUGCGUAUUGGGGCUAUGAUGAAGACGAUUUUACCUGCGCUUGCACAUGCUGUUGUUUUUGAUAGAAACUGUGCAGCAGAUCCUGCGGUGUCAUUGGAAGGCAUAAAAUCACAACUACAGAGUCUUUCAACUGAAGUUGCCGAGGCAUACAAUGUCACUCCUAAUCUAGAUUUGCUCAUUCCUUCUCUUCUGAGAGAAGGCACUGCAUUUUCAGCUUCAUCCUUGGCAAUGGUGCCUGGCACACCUAUUCCACCUAUGCUUGCAAGAAUUACUAACGGGUUGACUCAGUCGUUGAAAGCUUUCCAUGGCAGAUCAUUUACUUGUGAGUACAAGUAUGAUGGUCAGCGUGCCCAGAUUCACAAAGCACUUGAUGGAUCCGUGCGAAUAUUUUCAAGGCAAAUGAAAGAAUCAACUUCCAGAUUUCCUGAUCUUGUGAAUAUGAUUAAGGAGUUGUGCAAGCCCGAAGUGUCAAGCUUUAUACUGGAUGCCGAGGUGGUAGGAAUUAACAGGAAGAAAGGAAAUGAGUUGAUGUCGUUCCAAGAGCUAUCUUCAAGAGAAAGAGGGAAUAAGCAUUCCUCAAUUUCAAUAGAGAACAUAAAGGUUGACAUUUGUGUGUUUGUUUUUGACAUCAUGUUCCAUGAUGGAGAGAGAUAUGAAGUGCAAUCUCCGGCUUUCCACUGAGGCUGCAGUCACCUUUGGUUGGGCACCAAAUCAUGGCAAACACUUCCAGAUUAUUUUUUAGUUUUCUCUACUUACUAUUAAGUAUUAAAACUGGUUGAUUGUGUUAACAGGAACACAAAGUUACCAUUUUUUAUUAAGGAAUUUGAAGACAAAUGUUACCGCUCAUAGCAAUGUUAUUGUUUUGUUUAGUCUUACAUAUUGAAGUAUGAGGUUAACAUUUUAAUGGCAGUUACAAUACUCAAUAGUUUAUGGUCUAGACCGUCGACUUUCUUCAGAAUACUUGUGUUGAUUUGGUGUUUAAAAUGGAACGUAAUUUCGUAAAUUGCAGCUUUGAAAGUGAUUGCACCUGGUACACUACCAUGGCAAUAUCCAUUAAAUGCUAUAAAAACAGCUUCAUACCAUUUCCUUCGUUUAUAUAUUUUUAUUGUCUUAUUCAAAACAUUAGGGAUUUUUUUUUUGCUCCUGCAGACUACUGGAUUGCCCUCUUCGGCAAAGAAGAAAGUACAUUCAUGACUUGUUCCAUGAGAAGCCAGGAUAUUUUGAGUUAGCUCAGCAGCUAAAUAUAGAAGCCUGCGAAGCUUCACCAGACAAUUCUAGCACUUUGGCUAGGAUGGACACGUUUUUCAGAAAUGCAUGCCAGUCUUCUUGUGAGGGUAUAAUGUUAAAGACUUUGGAUGUCGAUGCUGGAUACUCUGCUUCCAAACGCUGUGAUUCAUGGUUAAAGGUCAAGCGUGACUAUGUGCAAGGCUUAGGUGAUAGCCUUGACUUGGUUCCGAUUGGUGCAUGGUAUGGAAACGGACGUAAAGCUGGGUGGUACAGCCCUUUUCUCAUGGCAUGCUACAACCCUGAAACUGAAGAGUUCCAAAGUGUAUGUCGUGUUAUGUCUGGUUUCUCGGAUGAGUUCUAUAAAGAGAUGAAGGAGUUCUAUUCGGGGGAAAGGAUACUGCCCAAGAAGCCUGUUUACUACAAAACAGACGAGCAACCAGAGCUGUGGUUCACCGCAGAACAAAUCUGGGAGAUCCGAGGUGCAGACCUGACGUUGUCCCCUGUCCACCAUGCGGCCAUUGGGCUUGUCCAUCCAUCGCGCGGCAUCUCGGUGAGGAUGCCCCGGUACAUCCGUUCAGUUCCAGACCGGAGCCCAGAGGACUGCGGCACGGCCGCCGAUAUUGCUAGCAUGUUCAAAGCCCAGACCCGGAAGAUGGAUGUCAGCAGCGAGGGCCAGGAGUAGUAGGCAAUGCAAAGCUCAGCCCAUUUCCUCGUCCUAGCUUUGCUUAUGUUCACCAGUUCUGUAUAUACACAGAACGAACCAGGGUGAAGUGAACCACCCUACUGAUCAAAUGGUGAAAACUGAAGCGUAGGACAGGCAGCACUGAUCCCACUGGCUUUCAAUUUUUCUUUGUACAGAAACUGAAUGCAGUUGGAACGCG